UACGAAGGGGACUAGCGUUGUUCGGAAUCACUGGGCGUAAAGCGCACGUAGGCGGAUGUGUCAGUCAGGGGUGAAAUCCCGGGGCUCAACCUCGGAACUGCCUUUGAUACAGCACGUCUCGAGUCCGGAAGAGGUGGGUGGAAUUCCUAGUGUAGAGGUGAAAUUCGUAGAUAUUAGGAAGAACACCGGUGGCGAAGGCGGCCCACUGGUCCGGUACUGACGCUGAGGUGCGCAAGCGUGGGGAGCAAACAGG
rnacentral:rRNA from 1 species